rnacentral:misc_RNA from 1 species
CACGCAAAGACAAACACCCUUUGCGGGCAAGUAUCUCGCGCCACAUGAGCAAGGAUGCUGAGCUCAAGAGACGACACGCGACUAUCCUCGCCCAGGUCUUCACUGGCGCCGGUCCGCACGGUGAAUUCCGGCAACGACGGGUGAUGGGCAGCCACAUCAGUGGAGUGCAUGUGGGGUGCUGCCUACUACUGCGCUAGCGUUGUGGUGCCCUCUCCCCCGCCCCCCUCGAUUCCCACCAGUAUUUGCUUCGAGGACGUUAUACCCUGCGUGGUGCUCGGUAUGCGACACAGAAUUCGCUUCUCGCUGCAGUUCUGCACAUGAUGGUCUGAUUCAGCACAUCUCCUUCGCCCUGCACGGACUUCUCACCUGUGAGGUUCCGUUGGCUGCUUCCCUCCCUUAUGCCCCUGCUGAGCAACAAGCUAUGAGCUUCUUGUACGCAGGCGCAUGGCUAUCCGCUGGCCGCCUUCUGCUUGACAGGCACAUAACUUUCCGAGGCAUGCAGUCUUCAGGAGAGCUCGGGUGAUGCACGAACCAGGCGCGCAGGCAUGCGCACCGACCAGCGUAAACGUGCAUGUGCCCCGAAACGUGCGGGCACAUCCUACGCCCGACCGGGUGUGAGCUGGUGAGGCGCCGAUGCCGGAAGCAUGGCGAGAAGAACCCCGAAUUGGCACCAUCGGGCCCUCCAGGCUCCCAUGUGGAGAGUCUCCAUACUAUGGAAUGCCGGGGCUGGAAGCGACUGAGAAGGAGAGGCAUGGCAUGCAGACGAGUUGCAGGGUCUCAGAGGGCCCUGACCUGAGGCUGGCCGACCUCCUCCCUGAGGUCAUCCGGCAUGCCCGUGGAUCACCACCCCGCUGUUACCCGCACGACAGGCGGCGCCACCGCCCCUGCCCUCGAGCAGAACCCUGGGCGCGGCCCGCUUGGAUCAGGGCCUGCAGCCCAUCCGACUGUUCGCCGGACGCCGGCUGCGCCGCGGGUACCCGACGAAAGGGACGAGGAGGUGACGAUAAGAGCCGGCGAGAUGCAUGGCCCGGUUUGAGGGCAGGACGGCCUGUCCCGGUUGACGCGGAUUUGUCCGUAAUGCCACAGUGGCGGGUGGCGCGUGCCUACAUGCGUAGACUUUGUUGACUUGUUUGUGGCAGGAGAGCACUUUAGGGGAACACGAUCCACCGUGUCGUGUGCUGCACUCUUUUUUUUUUUUCAUAGCUUCUCGUCGCCGUAUCUUUCCGCUCUGCUGCGCCGCGUGCGCUGACCUCACCCCGCUCACUUGUAUCCGGGGGCACGCAGCCUCUGAUUCUGCAAUGUUCGGAGGGGCGGCUGAAAAGGUAGCCCCCCAAAAAGUCUACAUGUGAUUCUGGAAAAGCCAACAUCAUGCCCGCACGCGAUUGUUCACCAAAGUGAUGUGAAUGGCGUGUGUGCCUCCGUUUCCUUCUCUAUGUUCUUGCGCUUUUUCGCAGCAGCGUUUUCUGUGAAGCGUUUUUGUCUGAUUCCUUAGUUUUGUGGGUCUCCCGUCGUUGCUAUGUCACGCUCGUUUUCUUCCUGACUUGCACCGCCUCCACCUCAUCCCGUCCUGCCUCCUUUCUCUAG